rnacentral:rRNA from 1 species
GGUUUAAUUCGAUGAUACGCGAGGAACCUACCCGGGCUUGAAUUGCAGAGGAAGGAUUUGGAGACAAUGACGCCCUUCGGGGUCUCUGUGAAGGUGCUGCAUGGUUGUCGUCAGCUCGUGCCGUGAGGUGUCGGCUUAAGUGCCAUAACGAGCGCAACCCCUCUCCUUAGUUGCCAUCAGGUCAAGCUGGGCACUCUGGGGACACUGCCACCGUAAGGUGUGA